rnacentral:rRNA from 1 species
GCUUGCUACCUGACCUAGCGGCGGACGGGUGAGUAAUGCUUAGGAAUCUGCCUAUUAGUGGGGGACAACAUUCCGAAAGGAAUGCUAAUACCGCAUACGCCCUACGGGGGAAAGCAGGGGAUCUUCGGACCUUGCGCUAAUAGAUGAGCCUAAGUCAGAUUAGCUAGUUGGUGGGGUAAAGGCCUACCAAGGCGACGAUCUGUAGCGGGUCUGAGAGGAUGAUCCGCCACACUGGGACUGAGACACGGCCCAGACUCCUACGGGAGGCAGCAGUGGGGAAUAUUGGACAAUGGGCGAAAGCCUGAUCCAGCCAUGCCGCGUGUGUGAAGAAGGCCUUUUGGUUGUAAAGCACUUUAAGCGAGGAGGAGGCUACUUGGAUUAAUACUCUAGGAUAGUGGACGUUACUCGCAGAAUAAGCACCGGCUAACUCUGUGCCAGCAGCCGCGGUAAUACAGAGGGUGCGAGCGUUAAUCGGAUUUACUGGGCGUAAAGCGUGCGUAGGCGGCUUUUUAAGUCGGAUGUGAAAUCCCUGAGCUUAACUUAGGAAUUGCAUUCGAUACUGGGAAGCUAGAGUAUGGGAGAGGAUGGUAGAAUUCCAGGUGUAGCGGUGAAAUGCGUAGAGAUCUGGAGGAAUACCGAUGGCGAAGGCAGCCAUCUGGCCUAAUACUGACGCUGAGGUACGAAAGCAUGGGGAGCAAACAGGAUUAGAUACCCUGGUAGUCCAUGCCGUAAACGAUGUCUACUAGCCGUUGGGGCCUUUGAGGCUUUAGUGGCGCAGCUAACGCGAUAAGUAGACCGCCUGGGGAGUACGGUCGCAAGACUAAAACUCAAAUGAAUUGACGGGGGCCCGCACAAGCGGUGGAGCAUGUGGUUUAAUUCGAUGCAACGCGAAGAACCUUACCUGGUCUUGACAUAGUAAGAACUUUCCAGAGAUGGAUUGGUGCCUUCGGGAACUUACAUACAGGUGCUGCAUGGCUGUCGUCAGCUCGUGUCGUGAGAUGUUGGGUUAAGUCCCGCAACGAGCGCAACCCUUUUCCUUAUUUGCCAGCGGGUUAAGCCGGAAACUUUAAGGAUACUGCCAGUGACAAACUGGAGGAAGGCGGGGACGACGUCAAGUCAUCAUGGCCCUUACGACCAGGGCUACACACGUGCUACAAUGGUCGGUACAAAGGGUUGCUACCUAGCGAUAGGAUGCUAAUCUCAAAAAGCCGAUCGUAGUCCGGAUUGGAGUCUGCAACUC